GUGAACGCUGGCGGUAGGCCUAACACAUGCAAGUCGAACGGCAGCACAGUAAGAGCUUGCUCUUACGGGUGGCGAGUGGCGGACGGGUGAGGAAUACAUCGGAAUCUACUUUUUCGUGGGGGAUAACGUAGGGAAACUUACGCUAAUACCGCAUACGACCUACGGGUGAAAGCAGGGGAUCUUCGGACCUUGCGCGAUUGAAUGAGCCGAUGUCGGAUUAGCUAGUUGGCGGGGUAAAGGCCCACCAAGGCGACGAUCCGUAGCUGGUCUGAGAGGAUGAUCAGCCACACUGGAGCUGAGACGCGGUCCAGACUCCUACGGGAGGCAGCAGUGGGGAAUAUUGGACCAUGGGCGCAAGCCUGAUCCAGCCAUACCGCGUGGGUGAAGAAGGCCUUCGGGUUGUAAAGCCCUUUUGUUGGGAAAGAAAAGCAGCAGGUUAAUACCCCGCUGUUCUGACGGUACCCAAAGAAUAAGCACCGGCUAACUUCGUG
rnacentral:rRNA from 1 species